AAGCAGAGGUACUUCAGACAGUCACCAAAGAAACUGAAGAAAAGGUGCAACAAGUAGAAUUACCUGAAAGGAAAGGUAAAUUGAUGUGCAAUUCUUUGUAAGAUGCUCCUUUGUGUCAAUGAGGGCCACACAGAAAGGGGGCAACACAAAUACUGAGAGCCAUGAGCUCUAGAUCUAUUGACGUACAGAAAUAAAUUAUUAUAUUUGAGUCCAUUUACUCUUUGUGAAUCUGCUUUUGAUCACAGAACAAGAUGCUCCUGGAGAAGAAAAAGAAGAAGAAGGUGAUAUCUCAUUUCAUGAAGUACAAUGAGAAGCUGGAAUUGUUUGAACCCUGAUGUAUUUCUUAACAAAAUGAUCUGAAUGUGUUUUCCAGAGCCUAUCAAGGAGGAUCAGCCAAAAGGUAAAAAAAAAAAAAAAACAAGAAAAAGAAAAGCAUACUUUCAAAUGGAGUCACUUUUAUUCAAUCUCUUUGUCAGAUUAUUAUGCUGAGCAUGACCAAGAAAAUGACGGCACAGAGAAUUCUGUCUGAAUAUCCAGCAGUUUCUUCAUUAAAAUUCAAAUUGGUUGAAAUUGUGUUUAUUGCGCUGCUACAAAUAACUAUAUAUUUGCUGGAUAAGCACAUAACUGAACUCGUGCAGAGCAAUAAAUAUGUAUUUUCAGAACCUGACGUUCUUGAUGAGGCACAUGCAGAAGCACCUGUGAAAGAAGGUAAAUGUCUAACGAAGUUCCUGUUCGUUCCAAAUGUUCAAGUGCUCAGAAAAAUAAAGGAAGCUCUUCUUGCAGAGGCAGAGACCCCCAAGGAGGUGCAAACGGGCCCUGUAGGGUCUCAAGAACAUGAGGCUCCUCAAGAAGAAAAGGAGAAAGCUCCUGAGAUUUCUGUAAAAGCACCUACAGAGCAACCCAAACAGGAAGGUACUGUCUAGGUGUUUCUCCAGCGGUUCCCGUAUCAGUAAUUCAAUAGAGAAGUUAAUGUAAAUUGAUUUAAGUGAGUGUAGAUUAAACAUUCUCAGCAAAGUGAGGUGAAUGUGUUUUACAGAGCCUGCAGAGGAAGGUCAACCACAAGGUAAAAUACAUUUAAUCCACACUUUUAAUUUAGCCUCUCUGUCCAACUACUGGUCUCAGCAUCACCAAUGAGAUGCAUACAGCUCAAAAAAGGUGUCAAAUUCAUCAAAGUAAGGAACAGUUUGUCAGCAUUGCUGCUUCUUUUUUAAUUAAAAUUAUCAAAACUGUCUUUAUUAUACUAGACAUAAACACCAAGAGUAAAAAUAACUUGUUUUUUUUUUUUUUUUUUUUUACUAGAAGUUCCUGAAAAAGUUCUAGAACCACAAGUGAAAGGUAAUGGAUGAACAGAUAAUGGCAAAUAUGUUUUAAAUGUUUUCAUUCUGUACUAUUGAGUAUUUAGAUUUAAUUAUUAUUUAGAAAAAAAAAAAAUGUACCUAGUGAGGAAAAAUUGCACUUUCUUUUUCAGAACCAGAAGUUCAUGUAGAAGUUCCAGAAGCAGAAGAGCAAGUGGAACCACCAACUCAAGGUAAAUGGAAUUCGACCACUUUUAAUCAGUAGUAUACUGUCGAAUUAUGAAUACUGUAUAUAUUUUAAGGUGUAGAAGUGUGGAUAGAGAACACCUGUAGUUGUAUAUAAAACCCAUCUAAGUUAAGGGUUAAUAUAAUCUAUUAUGUCAAAUAUAUUGACCGAAGUGUCAUGGUAUUACUGUUUCUCACAGUGAUUACAAUAUUACAAUAUAAUAAUACAAUAUUGGGC
ensembl:lncRNA